GAUGAACGCUGGCGGCGUGCUUAAUACAUGCAAGUCGAGCGGACGGACGCGAGGUUUGCUGCUCUGACGUUAGGGGCGGACGGGUGAGUAACACGUGGAUAACCUACUUAUAAGACUGGGAAAACUUCGGGAAACCGUAGCAAACCCCGGAUAAUGUUUUGAACGGUGUGGUUGAAAAGUGUAAGUCGGUCUUGCGGCCAGCUAGAGAUGGAUCCGCGCUGCAUUGGCUAGUUGGUAAGGUUACGGCUUACCAAGGAAACGAUGCAUAGCGGAGCUUAGAGGGUGAGCGGCCACACUGGAACUUACGCACGGUCCGGACUCCUACGGGAGGCCGCAGUCGGGAGUCUUCCGCAAUGGGCGAAAACUUGACAGAGCAACCCCGCGUGAUGCAUGAAGGUCUUCUGAGCGUUAAACUCUGUUAUUUGGUAAGAACAUAUGUGUAAGUACCUGUGCACUUCUUGACGGUACCUAGUCAGAAAGCCCCGGCUAACUACGUG
rnacentral:rRNA from 1 species